rnacentral:lncRNA from 1 species
CCCAAAGCACUCUGAGCCUAAGGACAAGUCAGAGAGACUCAGUGAAGAAGUGUGUUGCGACUUGUGCAGUGGAGAGGUAGCAGAAUUCAGCAUUGAUCGUCGUGGUAUUUUCCUACCAAGUUCCUCUGCCAAGGUGAAGAGAUGCUUUUUUCUGGAUGAAGUUACUAGAGACACUGU